rnacentral:misc_RNA from 1 species
ACACACACACACACACACUAUACAUACAAAACAUUAUCAUUUUCACCCAAAUAACUCAGCCAUCUUUAUACCUUCAUCCUCUUGUGAGUCAGAUUCUGACCUCAAAGCUUCCACUAUUUACAAUCAGCUCUUAAAGCUCCCACAUUUCUACGGUCACCUUGAAGGACAACAUCCUUGAAAAAAUGGGUGCUGGAGGUCGAAUGUCCUCUCCUUCAUCCCUCAAGAAGUCAGAUUCUGACCACUUGAAGCGAGUACCAUCCACAAAACCCCCAUUCACCCUUGGUGAGCUCAAAAAAGCCAUUCCCCCACAUUGCUUUCAACGUUCAGUCCUUCGUUCAUUCUCCUAUGUCGUUUAUGACCUUACCUUAGCCUCUAUCUUUUAUUACGUUGCAACCACCUAUUUCCAAAACCUUCCUAGCCUCUUAUUUUAUCCAGCCUGGGCUUUGUACUGGGCUGCCCAAGGCUGCGUCCUUACUGGCGUAUGGGUCAUUGCCCACGAGUGUGGCCACCACGCCUUCAGCGAUUACCAGUGGCUCGAUGACACCGUUGGCCUUAUACUCCAUUCUUUCCUCAUGGUCCCCUACUUCUCUUGGAAGUACAGCCACCGCAGACACCAUUCCAACACCGGUUCUCUCGAGCGAGAUGAGGUCUUUGUCCCUAAACAGAAAUCCGCCAUGAAAUGGUACGCCAAGUACCUCAACAACCCCCUCGGUCGAGUUGUCGUUCUCACCAUCCAACUGGUCCUAGGCUGGCCUCUUUACUUGGCCUUCAACGUCUCCGGCCGUCCCUAUGACCGUUUCGCCUGCCAUUAUGACCCGUACGGUCCCAUCUACUCCGACCGUGAGCGCUUGCAGAUAUUCAUUUCCGAUGCAGGGCUACUUGCUGUCACCUACGGGCUCUACCAUCUCAUUCUAGCCAAAGGCUUCGCCUGGGUUGUCUGCGUUUACGGAGUGCCACUUCUGAUUGUAAACGGAUUCCUUGUCCUAAUCACAUACCUUCAACACACGCACCCCGCGUUGCCCCAUUACGAUUCCUCAGAAUGGGACUGGCUAAGAGGCGCUUUGGCAACAGUGGAUAGAGACUAUGGCAUCUUGAACAAGGUCUUCCACAACAUUACUGACACUCAUGUGGCUCAUCAUUUGGUCUCAACAAUGCCACAUUACCACGCCAUGGAAGCAACCAAGGCAAUCAAGCCAAUUUUGGGUCAGUACUAUCACUUUGAUGGGACUCCAGUUGUGAAGGCAAUGUGGAGAGAGGCAAAGGAGUGCAUUUACGUGGAGCCUGAUGAAGGUGACAAGAAUAAAGGCGUUUUCUGGUAUAAAAACAAGUUGUAAUUUGCUUGUGGAAGAAGCAGUGAGAAAAGUGCUUUUUGGCUUAAGAUGAGGUAACUUUAAAGCACUUUUCUCUAUCCUGGUUCUACUACUACUACUACUUUAGAAGAGCUGUUUGUUUUCUUCUUUGUUAUGGAUCUCUUAGUUUCUGUUAUGGGUAAGUUUACUUCCUACCAAAAUGCCAACCCUUGUGUUAAGUCAGUCAAGUUUCUUGGUUGGUUUGCUUUGUUGGUUUGGUUUGGUUUGGUUCAGUUCUAGAUUAAGAGAACUAGUAGAGACAUGCAGAUGCUGAACGAUGAAUCUUUG